UGUUCGUUAUCACCGCGCCGUUUAUUCUGUCAUUGUUUCAAUAUAGUGUGUUGACUGUAUUCAUUAAUUAAUGUGAUUUUGUAAGUUUUUUAGUUCAACUGCGAUUGUAUAUAUUAAUUAAUCGAAACUCGCGAUUGAUGGCGUUUGUCGUGUGCCUGGAGGACUGUUUCGAUAAUGGUUCGACCCGUUGGCCUAGAGUGCUGGCUCGAUCAAUCAAUAGUGCUGUUAACGAUCUACAACGGAUUUAUCAAACGGACGGCGUGUGUUGCGUCCCGAGAUGGUAUGCUUCGAUAACGGCUCGGCCUGUUGGCCUAAAGUGCCGGGGCUCUGAUUGACAACGGAUUUAUUACACGGACUGUGCUACCGUUGUGGUGCCAAGAUAACAACUAAGCUAGAGAUUGAUAGCAGUCAUCGCUAUUGGAUUUAUUGCAUUGUCUGUGCAUCUGUUUUGCCCGGUUGACUGUGAUUGAUUAGCGGCCAACCAACCCGAAUAGUGCUGGCUCUAAUUCAUAAUGGUUGUAUUACACGGAUAGUGCACGGCCUUUGGUAAAUUUCACUUCCGUUGAUGUGUUGAUAGUUCUGUGCUAUUGGUCUUUUUUUUUUGCCUAUGCUUGCCCUCCCCUACUGUUCGCCGUUCCUUAAAAAUGCCUGUCAAACCUCGAUUUCAUAAGAUAUUGCCAUUCGACAAUGGAGGAUCAUCAAGAUUACUACAUGCAGUCUGCUCUCGGAGUUCAUCGAAAACAUUUAUUCUUUAUUUAAUUUACAACAUAAUUCUUUUACCAAUAUUAUUGUAUUGAUUUAGGUUUGAGUCUCUCAUUAAACCGUAUUUUUCUAACGAUAAUUAUAUCAAUUUGUAUUCCAAAUACUACAUUACUUCAAUAUGAACAAAAAUUUUUUAUGUGUGUGAUCGAGACAAUAAAAAAACAUUAAUUAUUAAAGAAA